rnacentral:rRNA from 1 species
GACGUAGGGCGCAAGCGUUGUCCGGAUUUAUUGGGCGUAAAGAGCUCGUAGGCGGUCUGUCGCGUCGGCUGUGAAAACCCGGAGCUCAACUCCGGGCCUGCAGUCGAUACGGGCAGACUGGAGUUCGGCAGGGGAGACUGGAAUUCCUGGUGUAGCGGUGAAAUGCGCAGAUAUCAGGAGGAACACCGGUGGCGAAGGCGGGUCUCUGGGCCGAUACUGACGCUGAGGAGCGAAAGCGUGGGGAGCGAACAGG